UAAUGAGCAUGGCGGACUCAGACGUCAAUAUGACAGACUCUGAGGUCAACGCCACAGACUCGGAGCUCCACAUGGAGUGUGUGGAGGAGGAUCUGACACCGUGGCAACAGCACCCAGAUGAGGAAAUGGAAGAAACAAGCAAGGGACCCAGUAAAGCACCAUUACUACCCAAACCAGUGGCCCUGACUCAAGUGCUGCAGCCUCUUCAGACCUCCAUGCCUCAGGUGCUGCAGAUGCCGGCCACUAUGCUGCCUAGCACAAGCAGCACCACUGGGAAGAACAUCAUAUUCACCACACAGAACAUUCAAGGGGGGACACAGACCAUAAGUGCCGAACCGGUAGGAUAUAUCCUGAAUGGCCAGCCCAUCACCGUGCUGCCUGGUGGUAAGUAGCUAACCAUUAGACAUGUCUGUUCUUGUUAUCUUAUCAAUGUCCUGAUAGAUAACCCAAGUAUUUCACUGCCCACCGGAAACCUAGAAGUAACCACCUUUUUAGUGGGAUCCAGAGAAAUGUGAUAGGGAGUGUUUUGUGUUCUGUAAUUGUGUCAUGCAAACUUUGGGUCAUAAAAGAAUGGAUAUAUUUUUUCCAGUGGGAAGUGUUUUGUAAAGUGCAAAUAGACAAUAGCUAUAUUUCCAUUAUUAUUCCAGUGAUACAUUUUUUUUUUGUCUACAUUUUUUUGUCUACAAGUUUGCAUAGAAAUAGAUGCUACAAUUGCCUGCUACAGUGCAUUUCCAUUAAACUGUCUUGUGUCGAUUUAAAAACGGCUGGAUGUAAUAAUGUCACACCUCGCAAAAACCUUGUGUCAAAUAGAAAUGUAAGUGGUUCAUAAAUUGGCAACCGGCUGCAUGCCCUCCCACCCAUCCGUUUCAUGUCUUAGGUAGGCUGCAAAAGCCAGCAUGGGUAGAAUGCAAGAAUUGACUAAUAUUUGCCAUAUUCUAAUAAUUGUUAUAUGCCAACAUAUCCUAACGGUCCGCGCCAUGGUGAGACUUGCACUCCUGUAGAUCUGACAUCAUUUGAUGGUGAAACUUGCAUCCAGCCAAGCAGAAAAACAAAGCGUAGCAAUUUUAGGCAUUCUUGAAAGUCAGGACAAUCCUUGUCAUGCAAACAGUCAGCAUUUCAAAUUAAAUGUGGAGUAGAGCUUUAUAGAUAACAUCACGUACCCCCACAUGCCAUCAAAAUGAUUUGGCAAUAAUAAUUUAUUCAGUUUGACAAAAGUAAAAAUCCACCUCUGUCGCACAGAUAAAAAUGUUGUCGACCAUUAAGAACAUUUCUCCUGUAGCUUCCGUCGCAAUGUUAUGUUUUUAUGCGACAUUGCUUUUGUCGAAUAAACCUUCCUAUUGUGAGCGACUCACUACUGUUUUUCCUCCAGGCCAGGGAACCCAGCUGCAGCUAGCGCCCCAGCAGGUCCCGUCUCAGCCCAGGGGCAGACCGUCCACCAGCG
rnacentral:lncRNA from 13 species